rnacentral:rRNA from 1 species
CCUACGGAAGGCUGCAGUGGGGAAUAUUGGACAAUGGGGGCAACCCUGAUCCAGCCAUGCCGCGUGUGUGAAGAAGGCCCUCGGGUUGUAAAGCACUUUCAGUGAGGAAGAACGCCUGGUGGUUAAUACCCAUCAGGAAAGACAUCACUCACAGAAGAAGCACCGGCUAACUCCGUGCCAGCAGCCGCGGUAAUACGGAGGGUGCGAGCGUUAAUCGGAAUUACUGGGCGUAAAGCGCGCGUAGGUGGCUUGAUAAGCCGGUUGUGAAAGCCCCGGGCUCAACCUGGGAACGGCAUCCGGAACUGUCAAGCUAGAGUGCAGGAGAGGAAGGUAGAAUUCCCGGUGUAGCGGUGAAAUGCGUAGAGAUCGGGAGGAAUACCAGUGGCGAAGGCGGCCUUCUGGACUGACACUGACACUGAGGUGCGAAAGCGUGGGUAGCAAACAGGAUUAGAUACCCUGGUAGUC